AGGGGCCGGGGGAGCGGGCGGGCUCCGCGCGCGCCGCCUGAGGGGAGGCGGCGGCGCCGCGCGCGGGCAACGGCGGUGCGGGAGAGCCGCGGGCGGUGCGGGAGGCGAGGAGCGGACGGGAGACGAGCAGACGCCUCGCUCUUCCUCUCGGUUGCACAGAGAGCAGAACUAACCUAGUGCUGCAGAGCUGAUCCAAAGAACGUUCUUGUUUGUGGAAAAGCUCCCAGGAAGUUCACUACAGCCUGGACCUGCUCUUUAGACCUGCCUGCUGCAAACCAGCUCGUGCUUACGUUUGUAGUGUUUUGAUGCACCCUCCAUCAUCGUGCUCCUGACAGUGGAUUUGCAGAGAGGCUCAAACUCCAAUAUUGAACUUGUGCACAUUUACUGUGAGGUGA